CCCUUAGAUGUCCUGGGCUGCACGCGUGCUACAAUGAUACGUGCAACGAGUUAAUCCUGCUCUGAAAGGAGUGGGUAAUCUUAUGAAUGCGUAUCGUGCUUGGGGUUGACCAUUGUAAUUAUUGGUCAUGAACGAGGAAUUCCUAGUAAGCACAAGUCAUCAGCUUGUGCUGAUUACGUCCCUGCCCUUUGUACACACCGCCCGUCGCUCCUACCGAUUGAGUGUUCCGGUGAAUUAUUCGGACUGCAACAGUUAUCUGUCGCGGAAAGUCUUGUGAACCUUAACACUUAGAGGAAGGAAAAGUCGUAACA
rnacentral:rRNA from 1 species